ensembl:misc_RNA Metazoa_SRP Metazoan signal recognition particle RNA
GCUGGGCAUGGUGGUGCAUGCCUGUAGUCCUUGUUACUCAGGAGGCUGAGGUGGGAGGAUUGUUUGAACCCAGGAGGUCGAGGCUGCAGUGAGCUAUGAUGAUGCCACGGCACUUCAGCCUGGGUGACAGAGCAAGACCCUGCCUCUA